GUCUGGAGUCUGGCCGUCGUUAAGGUGCCACGAGACCGGCCAGGAAGAUGCCAGUGGCGGUGAUGGCAGAAGGUGCCUUCAGUUUCAAAAAGUUGCUGGAUCAAUGCGAGAACCAGGAGCUCGAGGCUCUUGGAGGAAUUGCUACACCCCCAGUAUAUGGUCAACUUCUAGCUUUAUAUUUGCUCCACAAUGACAUGAAUAAUGCAAGAUAUCUUUGGAAAAGAAUACCACCUGCUAUAAAAUCUGCAAAUUCUGAACUUGGAGGAAUUUGGUUAGUAGGACAAAGAAUCUGGUAGAGAUUUCCCUGGGGUCUAUACGACCAUCAAUGCUCACCAGUGGUCUGAGACAGUCCAGCCAAUCAUGGAGGCACUUAGAGAUGCAACAGGGAGACGAGCCUUCGCCCUGGUCUCUCAAGCCUACACCUCCAUAAUCACUGACAAUUUUGCAGCCUUUGUAGGACUUCUUGUUGAAGAGGCUAUGAAAGGUAUAUUAGAACAAGGAUGGCAAGCCGACUCCACCACCAGAAUGGUUCUGCCCAGAAAGCCAGUUGCAGGAUCCCUAGAUGUUUCCUUUAACAAGUUUAGUCCCUUAUCAGAGCCUGCCCCAGUUCCCCCAAUUCCCAAUGACCAGUAGUUAGCCAGACUGACCGAUUAUGUGGCUUUUCUUGAAAAUUGAUCACCCUGAGUUCAAGAUCCACCUUUGGAAUUCUGUAUACUGAGAAAUGUAGAAAUGUAAAAUUUUUA